GACGAACGCUGGCGGCGUGCCUAACACAUGCAAGUCGAACGAAGUGGCGAACGGGUGAGUUACGCGUAAUCAACCUGCCCUUCAGAGGGGGACAACAGUUGGAAAUGAUUGCUAAUACCGCAUACUGAAGGAGGGGAUUGCGUCUGAUUAUCUAGUUGGAGGGGUAACGGCCCACCAAGGCGAUGAUCAGUAACCGGUCUGAUGGGAUGAACGGCCACAUUGGGACUGAGGCACGGCCCAAACUCCUACGGGAGGCAGCAGUGGGGAAUCUUCCGCCAUGGACGAAAGUCUGACGGAGCAACGCCGCGUGAGUGAUGACGGCCUUCGGGUUGUAAAGCUCUGUUAAUCGGGACGCGGUACCGGAAUAGAAAGCCACGGCUAACUACGUGCCAGCAGCCGCGGUAAUAC
rnacentral:rRNA from 1 species